UCCGUAUGCGGGCAAUUAAGUCAGAGGUGAAAUCCCACAGCUCAACUGUGGAACUGCCUUAGAUACUGGUUAUCUUGAGUUUUAGUGAAGUAGAUAGAAUGUGUAGUGUAGCGGUGAAAUGCAUAGAUAUUACACAGAAUACCGAUUGCGAAGGCAGUCUACUAACUAACAACUGACGCUAAUGGACGAAAGCGUGGGGAGCGAACAGGAUUAGAUACCCUGGUAGUCC
rnacentral:rRNA from 1 species